UACAGGGGUCUCAAGCGUUAAUCGGAAUCACUGGGCUUAAAGGGUGCGUAGGCGGCCGUGUAAGUGUCCCGUGAAAUCCCACGGCUCAACCGUGGAAUUGCGGGGCAAACUGCGCGGCUCGAGGAAGGUAGAGGCCGGUGGAACGAUAGGUGGAGCGGUGGAAUGCGUAGAGAUCUAUCGGAACGCCAAAGGUGAAGACAGCAGGCUGGGCCUUUCCUGACGCUGAGGCACGAAAGCGUGGGGAGCAAACCGG
rnacentral:rRNA from 1 species